rnacentral:rRNA from 1 species
CCAGCGGCGUGCUAAUACAUGCAGUCGAACGCGUUGGCCCAAUUGAUUGAUGGUGCUUGCACCUGAUUGAUUUUGGUCGCCAACGAGUGGCGGACGGGUGAGUAACACGUAGGUAACCUGCCCAGAAGCGGGGGACAACAUUUGGAAACAGAUGCUAAUACCGCAUAACAACGUUGUUCGCAUGAACAACGCUUAAAAGAUGGCUUCUCGCUAUCACUUCUGGAUGGACCUGCGGUGCAUUAGCUUGUUGGUGGGGUAAUGGCCUACCAAGGCGAUGAUGCAUAGCCGAGUUGAGAGACUGAUCGGCCACAAUGGGACUGAGACACGGCCCAUACUCCUACGGGAGGCAGCAGUAGGGAAUCUUCCACAAUGGGCGCAAGCCUGAUGGAGCAACACCGCGUGAGUGAAGAAGGGUUUCGGCUCGUAAAGCUCUGUUGUUAAAGAAGAACACGUAUGAGAGUAACUGUUCAUACGUUGACGGUAUUUAACCAGAAAGUCACGGCUAACUACGUGCCAGCAGCCGCGGUAAUACGUAGGUGGCAAGCGUUAUCCGGAUUUAUUGGGCGUAAAGAGAGUGCAGGCGGUUUUCUAAGUCUGAUGUGAAAGCCUUCGGCUUAACCGGAGAAGUGCAUCGGAAACUGGAUAACUUGAGUGCAGAAGAGGGUAGUGGAACUCCAUGUGUAGCGGUGGAAUGCGUAGAUAUAUGGAAGAACACCAGUGGCGAAGGCGGCUACCUGGUCUGCAACUGACGCUGAGACUCGAAAGCAUGGGUAGCGAACAGGAUUAGAUACCCUGGUAGUCCAUGCCGUAAACGAUGAGUGCUAGGUGUUGGAGGGUUUCCGCCCUUCAGUGCCGGAGCUAACGCAUUAAGCACUCCGCCUGGGGAGUACGACCGCAAGGUUGAAACUCAAAGGAAUUGACGGGGGCCCGCACAAGCGGUGGAGCAUGUGGUUUAAUUCGAAGCUACGCGAAGAACCUUACCAGGUCUUGACAUCUUGCGCCAACCCUAGAGAUAGGGCGUUUCCUUCGGGAACGCAAUGACAGGUGGUGCAUGGUCGUCGUCAGCUCGUGUCGUGAGAUGUUGGGUUAAGUCCCGCAACGAGCGCAACCCUUGUUACUAGUUGCCAGCAUUAAGUUGGGCACUCUAGUGAGACUGCCGGUGACAAACCGGAGGAAGGUGGGGACGACGUCAGAUCAUCAU